GCGGGUGUGGUGAAACUGGUAGACACGCUAGAUUUAGGAUCUAGUGAGAAAUCGUGUGGGUUCAAGUCCCUCCACCCGUA
rnacentral:tRNA from 1 species